AUUUUAGAAUACUUACAAAUAUCUUUCCCAGCUGGCUAAGAAGAAAUCUAAGAGAUCUGAAAGAAAUGCUGGAGCAGCAAUGUAUUUGAAAAUAUACCAACAGUUUGAGAAUUCAUAAAGUGUAAAAUGAUUGUAGUAACGGCCAAGAUGAAGCAUAACUUAUAGCUUGUAAUGGUAAUACCUAAAACUCUGGAGAAAAUAUGAAGAGAAACUGGGAAAACUCUCAAACAGUAACAGACAGAUUGAGGAUGGAAGUCAAAAUGGGAAAAGAAUCCAGGAUAGUGGUGCUGACUGGUGUUGGCAAUUGUUUCUGACAGAAGAUGAGCCACUUUUCCUAUAUAAUAAAGUGGUUUUACUCUGGAAGUGUUGGCAGCCAUCUUGUGACAUUUAAAACUGAAGAAGAAAGCUGAAGCCAAGGAAAGGAAGUUGAAAAAUAGAAC
rnacentral:lncRNA from 1 species